rnacentral:rRNA from 1 species
AGCUCCAAUAGCGUAUAUUAAAGUUGUUGCAGUUAAAAAGCUCGUAGUUGAAACUCUGAUUGUUCAGGUUCUCAGCCAUUAGGCGAGGGCUCUGGCAGUCAUCCGCUUGCAAACAUAUGUUCGACCUUAACCAGUUGGCUAUGUGAGUAAGCAUUUUACCUUGAGAAAAACAGAGUGUUCCAGGCAGGUUUGUCCGGAAUGCAUUAGCAUGGAAUAAUAGAACAUGACUGAAGUCUAUUUAUUGGUUAAAGGCUUUAGUAAUGAUUAAUAGGAACAGUCGGGGGCAUUCGUACUCAGCAGUCAGAGGUGAAAUUCUAAGAUUUGCUGAAGACGAACUAAUGCGAAAGCAUUUGCCAAGGAUGUUUUCAUUA